ACGGAAGGCAGCAGUGAGGAAUAUUGGUCAAUGGGCGGAAGCCUGAACCAGCCAAGUCGCGUGAAGGAUGAAGGUAUUAUGUAUUGUAAACUUCUUUAGCAGCAGAGUAAUAAGGGGGUCGUGACCCCCGAUGCAAGUAUGCUGAAAAUAAGGAUCGGCUAACUCCGUGCCAGCAGCCGCGGUAAUACGGAGGAUCCGAGCGUUAUCCGGAUUUAUUGGGUUCAAAGGGUGCGCAGGCGGUUUUUUAAGUCAGUGGUUAAAUCGUGAGGCUCAACCUCAUCACGCCAUUGAUACUGGAAGACUUGAUUGCGGUUGAGGUUGGCGGAAUUCGUCGUGUAGCGGUGAAAUGCAUAGAUAUGACGAAGAACACCGAUUGCGUAGGCAGCUGACCAAGCCGUAAAUGACGCUCAUGCACGAAAGUGCGGGGAUCGAACAGGAUUAGAUACCCUGGUA
rnacentral:rRNA from 1 species